UCCUUUACCCGGGCUUGGGACCGGCUAUGUUGAGACAAGAUAGGCGGAGUUACAUGGCUGUAUCACCGCUAGUACUUAAUUUAUGAUAUAUGUGUCUAAUGGACCCUAUUUCGUGUUUUUGCCUUUGUCCAAUACAGCAACGUUUACAGUAGUGUUAGACGGAGAGAUUUUGAAUAUUUUAUAAAACUCAGUCUGAUUGAUCAAACCAUCAAUUUUGCCAAGUCUGUCGUAUGAGAAUUUCCUAGCUCUCUGUUAACAUUGGGAGCAACUCCAACGGGGAGAGCAACUCCCAACGGGGCGAUCCAUUUUGUCCGCGGGCGUUCGUUUGGGUCGGUGCGGACAGAAAAGUCGGCCUGACGCGCUGACCUAAACAGACACGCGUUCGCUUUUCGUCCGCCUGCUGACUCAUUUCCGGUCCAUUUUUUAGCCGGAUUUGCGUCGGUGCGGACACGACGACACGAGACGGACGCGUGCGCGCUCGCCUUCUCCCUCCUGGCCCGCUAGUUGGUGGCAGCCUUCACCAUUUCCCUUCAUUUCCUCCCAAAACCCUCUAGCCCGCGCGUGCUCCCGCUGCCCACCAUGGACGACGACCUCGACGUCGCCGCCGGCCUCGCCUCCCUCGCCUCGUCCGGAAUGACGAUUGCCCCCUCAGCAAAGGCAAGCCUCGCGCUCCCCGCAAGACCGCCGCCACGCCCAAGCCGAAGAAGACGCUGACGCCCGAACAGCGGGCAAGGGAGUCGGCAAAAGAGAAAGAGCAGGAGGCACGCGGCGGGCGCCAUCGCUGCCGCUGCGCAGCAGGAGGUCACCAACGUCGCGGCGGCAACGAGGGAGGCACUAUAUAUGCUAGGGUUAAACCCUAGUCAGCACGGCCUUGUCAACGCCGCUGUGGCUGCGGCCAGCACCGGCUCCUCCAUGUUCCGUCGGAUGGUGCUGCCCGACUCACCCCGCGCGUCGGCGACGCAGCCGAUAUCCGGCUUCCACGUCUACCCGUAGGCCUCACGCCUCUCCGGGGAGUGCUCGCCCAAGCUGAGCGUGGUGGCGCCUUCCACGCCCGCGCCCAUACCCAUCGACCUCAACGCCACACCGGUGGCCGGUGGCUUGUCAUCCGGAGGCGCGAGGAAACGCGCGCAACACAUGCCAGCCGAUGUGCUGCCGGGAGCACGCAACCUGUUCGACGGAAUGCCGGCCUCCGGCGACGAUGACUACAUGCAAAACAUCAUCUUCGAGGGUGGUGUGGCGGCCGCUGGCGGUGCCGCCGGGGCCGGCUACAAUCCCGAAGAGACACAAAGCCAGGACGGCCGAGGGGCGUUCACGCCGUCCACCAUUGAUCAAGAUCAGGUGGCCUUCAUGCAUGAUCAGGUCGGCCUGGACCUGGACGGCUUCCCACUCGACCACGAGUUUUCGGAGGACUACGGGAAGAGGAAGAGGAUGAGUGCCACAUUGAAGGGGGGCCUUUGUUCGAGGACGAGCUCGCCAACUAAGCCGCCGGGUCGAAGCCAAAGCACAAGAGCAAGCGGACGAAGGCAUACACGGUGGCCGAGGACAAGCUCCUUUGUGAGUGUUGGAGAGACAUUGAGCAAGACCCCAAGGUCGACGCCAAACAGAAGGCAUCAACCUUUUGGAUUCGUGUCCACCGUGAGUUCCAUGAGCGCAAGAAGUUUCCGCCGUACCAAAUGCUAAGCACUCGCGGGUGGGUGUCCAUUUCGAAGCGAUGGAGGGUGAUCCAGCAAGAGUGCAACAAGUUUUGUGCCACUCUUGAUAGCGUCAAGGCGCCCCGUGAGCGGCAUCGGCAUGCAUGACAUGGCAUUCCAAGCUUUGGAGGCAUUCAAGGUCCAACACAACGGCAAGUGCUUCAGCCUCUCACAUUGUUGGAAGGUCAUCAAAGAUGAGGAGAAGUUCAAGGCGCAAUAUGUGAUAGCACAGGAAGUGUCCCUCAUUGAUUCAGUUUAUCCUACCAAGAUGACCCCUAAAAAUGUGUGAAGACAUUGAAGACAAUGGUGGUUCGUGAAGACAUUCACGACGAAGAUUAUAACGCGUGAAGCUAUUCACUUGCAGACUAUGGAGUGCGAAGAC